rnacentral:rRNA from 1 species
GUUUUCUCUCCCGCGGAGCUAGCAUAUCAAUAAGCGGAGGAAAAGAAACCAACAGGGAUUGCCCUAGUAACGGCGAGUGAAGCGGCAACAGCUCAAAUUUGAAAUCUGGCCUUCGGGUCCGAAUUGUAAUUUGUAGAGGAUGCUUUGGGUGCGGUACCUUCCGAGUUCCCUGGAACGGGACGCCGGAGAGGGUGAGAGCCCCGUACGGUUGGAUACCAAGCCUAUGUAUAGCUCCUUCGACGAGUCGAGUAGUUUGGGAAUGCUGCUCUAAAUGGGAGGUAAAUUUCUUCUAAAGCUAAAUACCGGCCAGAGACCGAUAGCGCACAAGUAGAGUGAUCGAAAGAUGAAAAGCACUUUGAAAAGAGGGUUAAAUAGCACGUGAAAUUGUUGAAAGGGAAGCGUUUGCGACCAGACCUUUUCCAGGCGGAUCAUCCGGUGUUCUCACCGGUGCACUUCGCCUGGUUUAGGCCAGCAUCGGUUUUCUUAGGGGGAUAAAGGUUUAGGGCACGUAGCUCCUUCGGGAGUGUUAUAGCCCUCUACGUAAUACCCUUCGGGGGACCGAGGACCGCGCAUUGCAAGGAUGCUGGCGUAAUGGUCGUCAACGACCCGUCUUGAAACACGGACCAAGGAGUCGAACAUUUGUGCGAGUGUUUGGGUGUUAAACCCUCACGCGUAAUGAAAGUGAACGGAGGUGAGAGCCCUUCGGGGUGCAUCAUCGACCGAUCCUGAUGUCUUCGGAUGGAUUUGAGUAAGAGCAUAACUGUUCGGACCCGAAAGAUGGUGAACUAUGCGUGGAUAGGGUGAAGCCAGAGGAAACUCUGGUGGAGGCUCGCAGCGGUUCUGACGUGCAAAUCGAUCGUCAAAUCUGCGCAUGGGGGCGAAAGACUUAUCGAACCAUC